CUUCCCUUCUUGCUCGCCGCCGCCCAGGUGGGUUCACCGGCGAGGUGAGUGAACUCAGGCUCCGUUGCCACGCCUCUCCUCCCUCCGCUCCCUUUUUUCUUUUCUCUCUCUGAUCCCCGCUCUAUCUCAUAUCUCAGGUCCGUGUGCCGCGGGAGUGGCGUGGCCGUCGCUGCUGGCCUCCUCUGCCUCUGCAAGUCUCUUCUCUCAAGUCCGCGCGCCGCCUGAGCGGUGUGGCCAUCCCUACCGAGGCCUCGUUGUUGCACGAGAACCAGCUGGCCCGCCCCAUUUCCCUCAUUUGUGAAUCCUCGUGUGCUCGCUGCUAGUACUUGAUAUUGCAGAAAACUUGUGAUUGUAUUUAAAUUGGCAAGAUUUCAUUCAAUGAAGCAAGGUGGUACUAUUCUAGGAUUUGAUUAGUGGUGUGUUUGUAAGACAAUAGGCUUUGGGGGGAACCGGCACAACCCUCUAGGGGUGGCCUAUCACAUAUAUAUAUAUAAUGAGGUGGUAUACAACGUUACAAUAUACACAUGUAAAUACAGUUUAACACCCUCCCUCAAUCUUAG
rnacentral:lncRNA from 1 species